CUUGAUGGCACCCUGAUCUCAACUUCCAGCCUCCAGAACCGUGGGACAUAAAUUUGUUGUUUAGAAGCCCCGCCAGUCUAUGGUAAAGUGAGACAGGCAGAAACAAGUUUACAGUCAUUUGGAGACAGAUCCACGUUGCUGGCCCACCUCGUGAGACUAGAGGAUUCUUCAGGCCUUUGCCAGGACACAAUUGGAAACACUGGUUAUUUUACCAAGGCUUUGACUGGAGUGGCAUAUGACCAGACUGCUUUGAGGAACUGAAGUGAAUUAAUAGAACUGAUAAAAAACCCCUUCAAAAUACUGGCCUCUUACCUUGCCUAAGCAAUUUCUUUACAAAAUUUCUGACCUGUGGUAAGUAAAGAAUGUCACUUUCUUGACCGGCCCAGGAACCUCAAGUUAUUUUGGGAACUCAAGAAGAGAAGAAUUUACCCAAUUUAUACGGGUAUCUGCAGGCACAAAUAAAUUAUCAGCUUGGCUGAC
rnacentral:lncRNA from 1 species